AGUUGGGCACUCUAAGGUGACUGCCGGUGACAAACCGGAGGAAGGUGGGGAUGACGUCAAAUCAUCAUGCCCCUUAUGACCUGGGCUACACACGUGCUACAAUGGACGGUACAAAGGGCAGCAACACCGCGAGGUGAAGCGAAUCCCAUAAAGCCGUUCUCAGUUCGGAUUGCAGGCUGCAACUCGCCUGCAUGAAGCCGGAAUUGCUAGUAAUCGCGGAUCAGCAUGCCGCGGUGAAUACGUUCCCGGGCCUUGUACACACCGCCCGUCACACCACGAGAGUUUGUAACACCCGAAGUCGGUGGGGUAACCUUUAUGGAGCCAGCCGCCGAAGGUGGGACAAAUGAUUGGGGUGAAGUCGUAACAAGGUAGCCGUAUCGGAAGGUGCGGCUGGAUCACCUCCUUU
rnacentral:rRNA from 1 species